GAUGAACGCUAGCGGCAGGCUUAAUACAUGCAAGUUGUGGGGCAGCAGGGGUGUAGCAAUACAUCUGCUGGCGACCGGCAAACGGGUGCGUAACACGUACGCAACCUUCCCGUUACUGUGGCAUAGCCCAGGGAAACUUGGAUUAAUACCACAUAUUAUAUAGAGAGGGCAUUAUUUUUAUAUACACGCUUGGUCGGUAACGUAUUGGCGUGCGAUUGAUUAGGUAGUUGGCGGGGUAACGGCCCACCAAGUCUACGAUCAAUAGCUGAUGUGAGAGCAUGAUCAGCCACACGGGCACUGAGACACGGGCCCGACUCCUACGGGAGGCAGCAGUAAGGAAUAUUGGGCAAUGGACGAAAGUCUGACCCAGCCAUGCCGCGUGAAGGAUUAAGGUCCUCUGGAUUGUAAACUUCUUUUCUCUGGGGCGAAAACCAGCUAUUCUUAGCUAUUUGACAGUACCAGAGGAAUAAGCACCGGCUAACUCCGUGCCAGCCGCCGCGGUAAAAC
rnacentral:rRNA from 1 species